rnacentral:rRNA from 11 species
CAGCCGCGGUAAUUCCAGCUCCAGUAGCAUAUAUUAAAGUUGUUGCAGUUAAAAAGCUCGUAGUCGAACGUCGGGGUUCUGAGACUGGCCUGGCAAUGCCAGGACUGGUGUUGGGAUCCUUUUUCUUGGUGAGAUGCACUGCUCUUAAUUGAGUGGGGUACGGAAGCAAGAUGUUUACUGUGAAAAAAUUAGAGUGUUCAAAGCAGGCAUAGCCAUGAAUACACUAGCAUGGAAUAAUAGAAUAGGACUUUGGUAC